GAUGAACGCUGGCGGCGUGCCUAAUACAUGCAAGUCGAGCGAACAGACGAGGAUCUUGCUCCUCUGACGUUAGCGGCGGACGGGUGAGUAACACGUGGAUAACCUACCUAUAUUACUGGUAUAACUUCGGGACACCGGAGCUAAUCCCGGAGAAUAUAUUGAACCGCAUGGUUCAAUAGUGAAAUACGGUUUUGCUGUCACGUAUAGAGGGAUCCCCGCCGCAUUAGAUAGUUGGUAAGUUAACAGCUUACCAAGGCAACUAUGCGUAGACGACGUGUGGGGGUGGUAGGCCACACUGGAGCUGAGACAGGGUCCAGACUCCUGCGGGAGGCCGCAGUAGGGAAUCGUAGGCAAUGGGCGAAAGCCUGACGGAGCGACGGGGAGUGAGUGAUGAAGGUCCUCGGUUCGUAAAGCUCUGUUACGAGGGAAGAACAAAUGUGUAAGUAACUAUGCCCGUCUUGACGGUAACUAAUCAGAAAGCCACGGCUAACUACGUG
rnacentral:rRNA from 1 species